rnacentral:rRNA from 1 species
UGCGAAGGGGGCUAGCGUUGCUCGGAAUCACUGGGCGUAAAGCGCACGUAGGCGGCUUUUUAAGUCAGGGGUGAAAUCCUGGAGCUCAACUCCAGAACUGCCUUUGAUACUGAGAGCUUGAGUUCGGGAGAGGUGAGUGGAACUGCGAGUGUAGAGGUGAAAUUCGUAGAUAUUCGCAAGAACACCAGUGGCGAAGGCGGCUCACUGGCCCGAUACUGACGCUGAGGCACGAAAGCGUGGGAGGCAAACAGG